rnacentral:rRNA from 1 species
GAUUCCGGAGAGGGAGCCUGAGAAACGGCUACCACAUCUAAGGAAGGCAGCAGGCGCGCAAAUUACCCAAUCCUAAUACAGGGAGGUAGUGACAAGAAAUAACAAUACAGGACUUUUUGGUUUUGUAAUUGGAAUGAGUUAAGUAUAAACCCCUUUACAAGUAUCAAUUGGAGGGCAAGUCUGGUGCCAGCAGCCGCGGUAAUUCCAGCUCCAAUAGCGUAUAUUAAAGUUGUUGCAGUUAAAAAGCUCGUAGUUGGAUUUCUGUUAAUAAUUUAUAUAAAAUAUUUUGAUGAAUAUUUAUAUAAUAUUAACAUAAUUCAUAUUACUAUAAUAUAUUUUAGUAUAUGAAAUUUUACUUUGAGAAAAUUAGAGUGCUUAAAGCAGGCAUAUGCCUUGAAUACUCCAGCAUGGAAUAAUAUUAAAGAUUUUUAUCUUUUUUAUUGGUUCUAAGAUAAGAAUAAUGAUUAAUAGGGACAGUUGGGGGCAUUUGUAUUUAACAGUCAGAGGUGAAAUUCUUAGAUUUGUUAAAGACAAACUAAUGCGAAAGCA